GUGGGGAAUAUUGGACAAUGGGCGCAAGCCUGAUCCAGCAAUGCCGCGUGGGUGAAGAAGGUCUUCGGAUCGUAAAGCCCUUUCGACAGGGACGAUGAUGACGGUACCUGUAGAAGAAGCCCCGGCUAACUUCGUGCCAGCAGCCGCGGUAAUACGAAGGGGGCUAGCGUUACUCGGAAUUACUGGGCGUAAAGGGCGCGUAGGCGGCUCUGUUAGUCAGGCGUGAAAUUCCUGGGCUUAACCUGGGGACUGCGCUUGAUACUGCAGGGCUUGAGGCCGAGAGAGGGUGGUGGAAUUCCCAGUGUAGAGGUGAAAUUCGUAGAUAUUGGGAAGAACACCGGUGGCGAAGGCGACCACCUGGACUGAUACUGACACUGAGGUGCGAAAGCGUGGGGAGCAAACAGGAUUAGAAACCCCGGUAGUCC
rnacentral:rRNA from 1 species